rnacentral:tRNA from 1 species
GUAGCCGUAUCGGAAGGUGCGGCUGGAUCACCUCCUUUCUAAGGAAUAUAUACAAAGACGUGAGGAUUCAACUUUAUUCAGUUUUGAGGGGUUUAGUGAUAAACCUAAGCAAGAAUCAAAUUCUUGAUUGUGGGGCCUUAGCUCAGCUGGGAGAGCGCCUGCUUUGCACGCAGGAGGUCAGCGGUUCGAUCCCGCUAGGCUCCAUUGUCAGACAAGACGUUAAAAUCACUUGAACAUUGAAAACUAAAUAACAAUAUCUAAUAACGAUAAAUAAACCAAAAGCUGUGAAUUUUAAAGAAUUUACAAACUUAUACUUGAAAAACGAUGAUUAUAAAUCAUCAUGGCAAAGUUAAUAAGGGCGCAC